rnacentral:rRNA from 1 species
AUUGAACGCUGGCGGCAUGCUUUACACAUGCAAGUCGAACGGCAACGAGGAGAAGCUUGCUUCUCUGUCGGCGAGUGGCGAACGGGUGAGUAUAGCAUCGGGACGUGCCAAGUAGUGGGGGAUAACCAAACGAAAGUUUGGCUAAUACCGCGUAAGCUCCAAGGAGGAAAGUAGGGGACCUAAAUAAGGCCUUACGCUAUUUGAUCGGCCGAUGUCGGAUUAGCUAGUUGGUGGGGUAAUGGCUCACCAAGGCAAUGAUCCGUAGCGGGUCUGAGAGGACGAUCCGCCACACUGGGACUGAGACACGGCCCAGACUCCUACGGGAGGCAGCAGUGGGGAAUUUUGGACAAUGGGGGAAACCCUGAUCCAGCCAUGCCGCGUGUAUGAAGAAGGCCUUAGGGUUGUAAAGUACUUUUGUUAGGGAAGAAAAGCUAGUUUUUAAUAAAAAUUAGUGAUGACGGUACCUAAAGAAUAAGCACCGGCUAACUACGUG